GACGAACGCUGGCGGCGUGCUUAACACAUGCAAGUCGAGCGGUAAGGCCCUUUCGGGGGUACACGAGCGGCGAACGGGUGAGUAACACGUGGGUGACCUGCCCUCAGCUCUGGGAUAAGCCUGGGAAACUGGGUCUAAUACUGGAUAUGACUCCACGGUGCAUGUCGUGGGGUGGAAAGCCUUGUGCGGCUGAGGAUGGGCCCGCGGCCUAUCAGCUUGUUGGUGGGGUGAUGGCCUACCAAGGCGACGACGGGUAGCCGGCCUGAGAGGGCGACCGGCCACACUGGGACUGAGACACGGCCCAGACUCCUACGGGAGGCAGCAGUGGGGAAUCUUGCGCAAUGGGCGAAAGCCUGACGCAGCGACGCCGCGUGAGGGAUGACGGCCUCGGUGUAA
rnacentral:rRNA from 1 species